GGGGUUGUGGCUAGACGGUAGAGCACUCACCUAGCAUGUGCGAGGCCCUGGGUUCGAUCCUCAGCACCACA
rnacentral:tRNA from 1 species